UUCAUUGGUAUGAGGCAUUUUGGGGAAGUCAAAAGCAAAGCCACGAGAGCUUAUGCUCAAAGUGGACAAUAUCAUACCAUUGUGGAUAGUCGUGAUUCUUAACAUGAUACCUAAUGUGCGUGGACUUUUUUUCUUUCUCACUUUUACCGUUAACAUUUCUUCAUUGAACUUUUUUGUUACGUGAUGUUUUCCAAGCUAGAAUAUUUGGGAAUAUUUGGGUUCUAGUUGAUUCAUACAACUAGAUGUAUCCCGUUUUACUUAUUUAAUUUUUCUACAAUAAUCUUGUACUCCCAACGAUCAGGAUUUUUCCAGUACUUCUAGGUUUUCCUCUUCCCUCUUUUGAUUCCCAUCAGUUAGAAAUUGUUCUGUCAUGUGAAAAAGAGUAGAAAAUAUGAAAAGGACAAUUGGAUUAUCCCUUUUUGAAUCCAAGCAACCUCAAGGAGAUUAUAAAGAAGCUUUUCAAUUGUAAUGAAUCAUAAAUUGGAAACGUUGUAUGGGUGUACACCGACUAGAAGAUAGAAAAGAAACCGUAAACUUUUUAUGAGCAUGUACUUUUGUUUGUCAUAUGGAUUACAGCCAAGAGUUCAUAUCAUAUAGCCAAUGAGCAUUUUGGAUAUGACCAACCUGUGACAAAAACAUCCAUUAAUGUUUGCUCAAGUUGUUUGUAGCUAUACAGCCAGAUGAUCGGCCUUUCCAGGAGAGAGAAACAAUAGGAUCUUUAGAAGGGUGAGCAAGACGGUAGGGAUGUUUGGUCCCUGGCUAGAUUCUUUGUUUUCUUUUGGGCGUCGGUGUCAAAUUCCUUUUGUUAUUUAUCCGCUCACAUUUUGCUCGAUUGGGGUUCCUUAAUGGGAAUGCCUCUUUUUGUUGGCUUGGUUAUUUUGGAUGUCUUUGUAUUUAUCUUCUUUUUUUCUCAAUGAAAGUAUGGUGGAUUAUCAGAAAAAAUGAUCGAUAAAGUAAUAUCUCAAUUUCUUUUUUCAGGCAGGAUCUAGUUAUACCUGCCAUCUUACUUUUAUAUAAUUUUCAUUGCAGAAUCAGUUUCAGACAACUACUUGCGGUACAUGAUACUGCCUCCCCACUAAUAUUGUUGGAUGGAUGUGUCACGCGUUGGUCACAUCCAGUUCCUAUAAUUAGAUGAUUCAAAACUCAAAUUCUACAUAAUUGAUAGCUGUUUCUGAAAGUACAGUUUCAUUCUAUUAUAACGCGGUUCUCUUAGCAAAAUGGAAAAGAAAAGGUCAUUAACAUUAUUUAAACCACUCUUUUAUUGACUAUUUGCAGGCAGUUGGUAUAUGCUCCUUCUCUGGAACUACUGCAGCCGCUUCUAAUGCUGCCAUCAGGUUUCUUAGUGUUUUUUUCCCACAACAUUUUCGUGGCAUUCUCUGUGACUGAGUAAUCUUUGAGCUUAUCUAUGUAAUACUUUCAUAUGUGGACGGUUUAGUAAUCUUUUUGAUGAUGUUCCAGAACAAUGGCGCGUGUACGCAGACUUCUUGGCAGUGCAGGAAGCACCUUUGAUCUUGCUACUCCAUGCAUCCUAUCUAUUUUCUACCAUUGGCUUCCCUUGGCAAUCUUACUAAGGUAUUUUACACAGAUAGCCGUGUACCUGUUUUUUUAAUUAAAUUAUGUUGAAAAGCAUAAAAAUACUCAGCUAUGUUGUUGACAAUUAUGCAUUCAUCAUUAGUUUCUUAAACUGAAAUCAAAUCUUGCUAAUCGAAGGUUGAAACUUCCUUAUUUGUGUA